AACGAACGCUGGCGGCAUGCCUAACACAUGCAAGUCGAACGGGACCUUCGGGUCUAGUGGCGCACGGGUGCGUAACGCGUGGGAACCUGCCCUUAGGUUCGGAAUAACUCCCCGAAGGGGGUGCUAAUACCGGAUAAUGUCUUCGGACCAAGGAUUUAUCGCCUUUGGAUGGGCCCGCGUUGGAUUCGCUAGUUGGUAGGGUAAAAGCCUACCAAGGCGACGAUCCAUAGCUGGUCUGAGAGGAUGAUCAGCCACACUGGGAAUGAGACACGGCCCAGACUCCUACGGGAGGGAGCAGUGGGGAAUAUUGGACAAUGGGCGAAAGUCUGAUCCAGCAACGCCGCGUGAGUGAUGAAGGCCUUAGGGUUGUAAAGCUCUUUUACCCGGGAUGAUAAUGACAGUACCGGGAGAAUAAGCACCGGCUAACUCCGUG
rnacentral:rRNA from 1 species